rnacentral:lncRNA from 1 species
GGAUCACAGUGGGUGCCAUAUUACCUAUUAUUUUUAUUCUAAAACGUGCUAUGUAUAUAGAAAUAAAAAGAUGAGGUAUAAGUGCCAAAUGAGACAUCUUUCCAAAAAAGACAUAAUCUAGUAAAGUAAGCAGUCAUAGGUUCAAUGCCGAAAAGUACGCUAUAAAUGACCCAAAAAUUACUUGUGUAAAACAAUCAAAACAAAAAAAAACAAAAA